rnacentral:rRNA from 1 species
UACAGAGGGUGCAAGCGUUGUUCGGAAUUAUUGGGCGUAAAGCGCACGUAGGCGGCGCCGUAAGUCAGGGGUGAAAUCCCGGAGCUCAACUCCGGAACUGCCCUUGAAACUGCAGUGCUAGAAUUCUGGAGAGGCGAGUGGAAUUCCGAGUGUAGAGGUGAAAUUCGUAGAUAUUCGGAAGAACACCAGUGGCGAAGGCAGCUCGCUGGGACGGUACUGACGCUGAGGUGCGAAAGCGUGGGGAGCGAACAGG